CUACGGGGGGCUGCAGUGAGGAAUCGUGCGCAAUGGGCGAAAGCCUGACGCCGCGACGCCGCGUGAAGGAAGACGCUCUUCGGGGUGUAAACUUCUUUUUUGUGGGACGAUUAUGACGGUACCACAAGAAUAAGCCACGGCUAACUUCGUGCCAGCAGCCGCGGUAAUACGAAGGUGGCAAGCGUUAUCCGGAUUUACUGGGCGUGAAGAGCGCGUAGGCGGCUCUGUAAGUCUUAUCAUAAAGCCCACCGCCCAACGGUGGAAUCUGAUAAGAUACUGCAGAGCUAGUGGAUGGCAGGGGUAAGCGGAAUUGGCGGUGUAGGGGUAAAAUCCAUUGAUAUCGCCAAGAACACCAAUGGCGAAGGCAGCUUACUAGGUCAUCUCAGACGCUAAGGCGCGAAAGCGUGGGGAGCGAACGGGAUUAGAUACCCCAGUAGUC
rnacentral:rRNA from 1 species